GAAAUGCGAUAAGUAAUGUGAAUUGCAGAAUCUCGUGAAUCAUUGAAUCUUUGAACGCACAUUGCGCCCUAUGGUAUUCCGUAGGGCAUGCCUGUCUGAGCGUCAGCUCGUCUUCUCAAGCUCUUUUGCUUGGAUAACAUUGGAACAGCAAUGCAAGCUCCAUUCGGGGUCUGUGUGCUCUCCAG
rnacentral:misc_RNA from 1 species